rnacentral:rRNA from 1 species
GACGAACGCUGGCGGCGUGCCUAAUACAUGCAAGUCGAGCGAGGCGGCGGAUGGGUGAGUAGCGCGUGGGUAACCUGCCCUUAAGUGUGGGAUCCUGGUUGGAAACAGAUGCAAAUACCGGAUACUGAUGGAUGGACCGGCGAUGCAUUAGCUAGUUGGUAAGGUAACGGCGUAGCAAGGCGAUGAUGCAUAGCCGAGUUGAGAGACUGAUCGGCCACAUUGGGACUGAGACAUGGCCCAAACUCCUACGGGAGGCAGCAGUAGGGAAUCUUCCACAAUGGACGAAAGUCUGAUAGAGCAACGCCGCGUGAGUGAAGAAGGUUUUCGGAUCGUAAAGCUCUGUUGUUGGUGAAGCGGUAUUCAACCAGAAAGUCACGGCUAACUACGUGCCAGCAGCCGCGGUAAUAC